rnacentral:rRNA from 1 species
AUUGAACGCUGGCGGCAGGCCUAACACAUGCAAGUCGAGCGGUAGAGAGGUGCUUGCAUCUCUUGAGAGCGGCGGACGGGUGAGUAAUGCCUAGGAAUCUGCCCUGGUGGUGGGGGAUAACGUUCGGAAACGGACGCUAAUACCGCAUACGUCCUACGGGAGAAAGCGGGGGGAUCUUCGGACCUCGCGCCAUUAGAUGAGCCUAGGUCGGAUUAGCUAGUUGGUGAGGUAAUGGCUCACCAAGGCGACGAUCCGUAACUGGUCUGAGAGGAUGAUCAGUCACACUGGAACUGAGACACGGUCCAGACUCCUACGGGAGGCAGCAGUGGGGAAUAUUGGACAAUGGGCGAAAGACCUGAUCCAGCCAUGCCGCGUGUGUGAAGAAGG